UUAGGAGCAGCCCACCCAACACCAUGCCCUGCUGGGGAGUACCAGCCAGCCAGGGGCUCUGCAUCCUGCAUUCCAUGCCAGAGAGGAUUCUACUGCCAGGAGCUGGUGGCUGGAGACCCCAAGAGCUGCCCACCACAUACUUACUGUCCUACAGGCACACAGUUUCCUCAGACGUGUCCUGAAGGCACCUUUACUCCUCCAAAUACGACUGGCCUCUGGAAUGAGAAGCAAUGCCUGCCUUGUUUACCUGGUCACUACUGCAGGCGUGGACAGCUAGUGGGGAAAUGUGCUGCUGGAUACUUCUGCCUUGCUGGGAGCUCUCAGCCCACUCCACAGGGC